rnacentral:lncRNA from 1 species
CUUUUUACUCACUUUCUCCAGUAUUUUUAUUGUUUUUUAUCUUAUUUAUUUAUUUUUCUGUUUAUUCUGCACAGAGAACGGUCUUUUUGCCUGAAUUUAUGUAAAGCACCUAACACCAUGAGAUCCUGUGGUGUGACAAACUAAUUGAACAACUGCAGUAUUGCAUUUCUACAUUUCACAGACAGUAGAAAAACCAGCUAUGUGCAAAAUGUGGUGCAAAAAGCAGUUGCUGAGGUAUUUUCAAGCAAAUCAGAAAGCAAAUUUCUGGAAAAUCUCUGGAUGAUUGCAUGAAGCACAAUUCUGCUCCAUAGUGUGGAUGCAAUCCAGAAAAUUAGAGAUAGAAAGGACCAUGAAUUUUUAAAGGAAAUAUUAUAGUUUGAAUUCAAUGAUGAUAUUGAAGAGAACAUUUUAAAAUUAUUUUUUGAGAUUGCCAAAGAUAAUUGUUCCAGUGUGGACAUGUUUGGCAAAAUGAGGUGCUUUUUGCAGUAGUGAAGUACUCUGCCCAGCUGUCGGGAUGUCUGGGUGCUGUUCCUGACUCUUGCAUUGGCUGCAAGUGUAGGGUACUGAACCUGGCUCUCUUUGCUUCUCACAUCCUAGCUUUUCUUUUUCAGGAAGUAGAUGGAACAACAGGACUGGGCAGUGUCUCUGUGGUGGCAGCAGCUGUUCAGCACGCUUUCCUGUUGAGCCAGGUCUUUUCCCCCUCCUCGCCCUAAUAACCACCCUCUGCUCACUCUGCUCUCUCUCCAGUCUCGCUGCACUAAUCUCCCAGUUGUCAGCAAAACAAAUGAGCAGUGAGCUGCCUGGCAAACACAGAAGAUAAAGGUGUCAAGAAGAGGUCCGUAUCUUUGGUGUCUGCUUGAAGCAAGAAUGUCCUCUGGAUCCACAUGGCACUACUGCAGUUUUCUGGUGCCACCGCAGACAAGGAGUUUGUUCUGUUCUGCAUGUUACCUUGUGGCAGCCAGCAUGUAACUCAGCAGAGCUGAGACCUUGUCCCAGGAAUUUUCACGUGGAGACUAAGGACAAGGCAGCCCAAGUAGUGUUGUUAGUCACUGUCCAGAAGCCUCAAAAGGUUUCUAGCCCCCUGCUGCCUCUGGGAAGAGGGGAGACCCCAGGGCUGCGAAGCCAUCGCAGAGCUUCCAGUGCUCAGGUGUGGGACUGCUGCUGGACCUUUGUGUGUGGACAGAGGAUUCUGAACCUCAAACAGAACUGCAGAUGGAAAUGGACUAUAAGGGCCCAUUUCUCUCUACCCCAUUAG